rnacentral:rRNA from 1 species
CAUUGUUGGAGAGUUUGAUCCUGGCUCAGGACGAACGCUGGCGGCGUGCUUAACACAUGCAAGUCGAACGCUGAAGCACUUUCGGGUGUGGAUGAGUGGCGAACGGGUGAGUAACACGUGGGUAAUCUGCCCUGCACUCUGGGAUAAGCCUUGGAAACGGGGUCUAAUACCGGAUAUGACACUGGAUCG